rnacentral:misc_RNA from 1 species
AUUAAAAAAUGACCGAUGUUUUACGAAAGUAGGGCUGCUACUACUUUCGUAAAACAUCGCAAAUCAGUAAUGUCGCUUUGUUUUGUCAGCGAACUUCUCUGAUUGACGUUAAGGUUGUCAAGUCAAUAUCUUCAUUGCCAAUAUCUGUCAAUACUACAGAAUUUGGCAGAGAAAGGCAUUACAAAACGGGUAUCUGUUGACAUUGAGAAAGGAUGUUUUGCACUUUUGCUUUAUUAACAAAUGGAUGUGAUUUUGAAAACCUCAGACUGAUAUUGUCAAGAAUAUAUUUGAUUGCUUAUGGCAUCAACGAAAUUGCAGCAAAAUAAAAAAAUUUUAAAAAACCAUUGGAAAUAUAUUUGUCAGUAUUUUGAGAAAUCUAACAUGCAUUUUUAUCUGACUCGUAUGCAGUGUCUUUCCUAUUUGGAUAUACAUUAAAAAGUAGUUGCAGAAUCGAACUCUGAUAAAAUUAACUCUGUCCAAAGUAUUUAUGACCACUGAAGUAUCCACAGAUGUCACUAAAUGCCACUUAAGGAAUGGUAUUUAUUGAGAAAUUUUGGAGAAGUUUAACUUUUCUGAACUCUAUAAAAUAAAGAUAAGGUUUAUUUCUGUGUUUUAUGAACACAAGAAGAAAUUAUUGUUGAGAGAGUGUAUGAGAAUCUGUUUUAUCGCAGAUCACAAUCUCUAAUAAUUCAUCUCCUCAGACACAAGAAAAUACAAAGAGUACAUAGAAAUACAGUGACAGUUACCCCAAAUAGUCAUUCCAUUGUGUAUGAUUUACUUCUGAAACCUUUGUUAAAAUGUCUUCUAUGAGAAAAUAUUUAUCACAUCCUAAACAUAUACAUACAGGUGAAAGACUGCACCCUUGUGAUACGUGUCAAAAGAUAUUCCUUAGAAAGUAUGACUUGACUUGUCAUAAACGUGUUCAUACUGGUGAAAAACCAUAUUCUUGUGAUAUCUGCAACAAAACAUUUUCUCAGAAAGCUAAUUUAACUUAUCAUAAAUAUGUUCACACAGGAGAGAAACCAUACCACUGUGAUAUCUGUGGUAAAACAUUCUCUGUGAGUAAUAAAUUAAAGAGACACAUACGUAUUCACACAGAAGAGAAGCUAUAUCACUGUGAUAUCUGUGGUAAAUCAUUUUCUCAGAAUGGUCAUUUAACUCGUCACAUACAGAUACACACAGGGGAAAAACCAUUCCAUUGUGAUUUGUGUGGAGAAACUUUUUCACAGAGUGUUCAUUUGACUACACAUAAACGUAUUCACACUGGGGAGAAACCAUACCACUGUGAUAUAUGUGAUAAAACUUUCUCUCGGAAUAAUAUUUUAAUUAAUCAUAAACGAAUCCACACAGGUGAGAAACCAUACCACUGUGAUAUCUGUGGCAAAACAUUCACUCAAUAUAGUCAUUUAACUGACCACAACCGAAUCCAUACAGGUGAGAAACCUUACAAUUGUGAUAUCUGUGGAAAGUCAUUUUCCCGAAAUAGUAGUUUAACAAGUCACAAAAAGAUACACAAUAAACAAACAGUGAAAAAUGAAAGUUGUUGAAAAAGAUUGUCACAAUAGAAUAUUGGAUGCUUCCCAAGGAAGACUUGUUAAGCUAAAGUUUCUAGUAACAUCAUCAUCAUCAUCAUUUAACGUCCGUUCUUCAUGCUAGCAUGGGUUGGACUGAUAUAUAUAUAUAUAUAUAUAUAUUAUCUGACAGGCUUCUUUCUGUUUCUGUUCAUCAAAUCCACUCAUAAAGCUUCAUUCAACCCAGGACAAUAGUAGGUGCCAUGCAGAAGGAUUGAACCUGAAACAGCCCAGACAGAUUUAUUUAUUAUCAAGAACAUAUUUGUGCAAAUGCACCUCCAGUGGUCAACAUUAACAUUAUUAAAUAUCACAAUACAUAUAUAUAUAUAAAUAUAUCAUAUUUUGUAUAUAUAUAUGUGUGUGUGUGUCUGUUUUCCAUGCUGGCAUGGGUUGGACAGUUUGACAUGAGCUGGAGAGCUGCUCCAAGCACCAUGCUUUAGCAUGGUUUCUAUGGCUGGAAUCCUUUCUUAAUCCCAACCACUUUACAGAGUGUACUAGGUGCUUUUUACUUAGUUCCAGCAUGGAUGCCUUUUAUCUGAGGUUUUUAUGUAGCACCAGCAUGGGUACUUUUUAGGUGGCACUAGCUUGAUGCUUCUUAUGUGAAACCAGUACCUGCGGGGUCGUCAAGUAGCUUGCAAGAUGAUGACAUCACAGCUGAGAGAAGUGGCUGUGUGCCAGAUAAGAGGUUGGAGUAUCAUAUAGAUAGGGAUAGCUAUCUUAUUUGACUUCCCCAAUAAGACAAAAAUGCAGAGGGAGGUAGUAGUAGAGAGAGAGAGAAAGAUAGUGUGAGGGACGAUUAUUUAGAGAUAGGAAGUAAUGUUGAGAGGAACUGAAGGGGCCUGCAGUGGGAUGGGGUGGAGAGAUGGUUGUGGGUGAAUUUUGCCAGAGAACAAUUUAUGUGUGAAGAAAAUGUGGGGCUACGGCCAUAAAUGGAUGACCAUGAUUUUACUUAGCUUGACAUGUCUUCUCAAGCACAGUGAAUCCCUUGAAGUCUUGGUCCUUUGUCUUCUCAGUGAGGCUUAGUAUCUGAAGAUCCUUUCCCACCACGUCUUCCUCGGUCUACCAUUUAUAUAUUAUAUAUAUUUUUUAAAUUGCAUAUAUAUGUAUAACGGAUAUAAUUUAUAUAAAAAAUAUAUACAUAUAUAAUAUAUGCAUGUAUGUCCCUGUAGAGAAUUGAUGUAUAAAGAUCAAAAAUAAAUCUACAGAAUGUGUGCAUGUAUAUGUGUAUAUA